rnacentral:rRNA from 1 species
GACGAACGCUGGCGGCGUGCUUAACACAUGCAAGUCGAGCGGUAAGGCCCUUUCGGGGGUACACGAGCGGCGAACGGGUGAGUAACACGUGGGUGACCUGCCCUCAGCUCUGGGAUAAGCCUGGGAAACUGGGUCUAAUACUGGAUAUGACUCCACGGUGCAUGUCGUGGGGUGGAAAGCCUUGUGCGGCUGAGGAUGGGCCCGCGGCCUAUCAGCUUUGUUGGGUGGGGUGAGGCCUACCAAGGCGACGACGGGUAGCCGGCCUGAGAGGGCGACCGGCCACACUGGGACUGAGAUACGGCCCAGACUCCUACGGGAGGCAGCAGUGGGGAAUCUUGCGCAAUGGGCGAAAGCCUGACGCAGCGACGCCGCGUGAGGGAUGACGGCCUGGUUGUAAC